AACGCACAUUGCGCCCCUUGGUAUUCCGAGGGGCAUGCCUAUUCGAGCGUCAUUAUCACCCCUCAAGCUUCGGCUUGGUGUUGAGGCCUGCUGUAAAGGCACCCUCUAAAAUCAGUGGCAGUGCUGUCAGGCUCUAAGCGUAGUAAUUUCAUCGCUAUAGGGUCCUGGUGGAUACUCGUCAAAACCCCCCCAUUUUUUAAUGAUUGACCUCGGAUUAGGUAGGGAUACCCGCUGAACUUAA
rnacentral:misc_RNA from 5 species